GAGUUUGAUCCUGGCUCAGGAUGAACGCUGGCGGUAUGCUUACACAUGCAAGUCGAACGAAAGCCUAGCUUUAGUGGCAAACGGGUGAGUAACACGUAAGAAUCUACCUCCAGGAGGGAAAUAACAUUUGGAAACGAUUGCUAAUAUCCCAUAUGCUGAAAAGUGAAAUGAAUUUUGCCUGGAGAUGAGCUUGCGCCUGAUUAGCUAGUUGGUAAGGUAAUGGCUUACCAAGGCUACGAUCAGUAGCUGGUUUGAGAGGAUGAUCAGCCACACUGGAACUGAGACACGGUCCAGACUUCUACGGAAGGCAGCAGUGGGGAAUUUUCCGCAAUGGGCGAAAGCCUGACGGAGCAAUACCGCGUGAGGGACGAAUGCCUGUGGGUUGUAAACCUCUUUUAUUGGGGAAGAAUUUU
rnacentral:rRNA from 1 species